GAAUUGGUAGACGCUACGGACUUGAAAAUCCGUUGGCUUUAUUGACCGUGAGGGUUCAAGUCCCUCUACCCCCA
rnacentral:tRNA from 1 species